rnacentral:lncRNA from 1 species
AAAUAUGAUUGCAAAUAAAAUACAUCGAUUUGUAUUUAUUUUAUUUAUGUUAGUUUGUUCUAACCUGGCUAAAUGACUUUCAUUUAGAGGAUAACUAUUUUUCAAAUAUGUUGUUAUAAAGUAUACAAGGAAAUACGAUAAGAGUUUAAUCGUGCAGGGCCGACUACGUGAGAUAUGACACGAAAUAGGAUGGUGCAUCAAGAAGCGAUAGAAGUAGCAGGGGGUGAGUGAUGGAAACUAGAGAGGAGGAGAAUAUAUACCCUUGAGAUAGCACUUAUGUUGUAUUUGCACGUGUCAUAAAUAUUUUAUAUCAUCGCAGAAAAAGACGAUAAUUUUGCUGAAACCUGUUAUAUCUGCGUACAUCUCGUCAAACGUACGUAGGAAAGAGUUACCAAAUGCGUACCACUUAUUAUAUUUUCCAUUUGGUACCGAUUUGUGCGCAAAUAAAUAUUGGAAAUUGUAGCUUGAUGUUUCACCUAUUACAAUGUUAAUAGUAAGAACGUCGAAAUAAAACACAUUAAAAGGUUUUUACAAUUAAGAUAUUUCCAUGCAGCUUUGAUUGUAAAUAGUUGCAAUUUUCUCAUGGGAGAUUUUAAAAUUUUAUUUGAAGAAUUAUAAAUAUUUGUGUGUGUAAAUUUUAUUUGUGAUAAUAAAGCUACAUUUUAAUUUUUUUCCCCAAUCAGUCUGGUUGCUAUAAUUUUUCGUUUCCGUUCCUCAUUCAUUUUUGCUUGCGGCUACUCCCAUCUGAUAUCAUAGUGUUGCUGAGGGAUAAAGAAUGAAAAAUUAUUGUGACCCUUCGAGAAACCCUUCGGGCAACACCGGUAACGAUAUAAGAAUGACGAGACUGUUUCGUCCCGUAGGCCACUAGAGAGACAUUGUACGAUAAACCCAUCGCGCCCUUGCCGAAAGAAAAUUGAUUUUGGAUUUAUUCGAUGACGUCAAUGUCCGAUAGGCGCUUCCACGGGAAUAAUGACACUCUCGUGGCGCCGAUGUCUUUGAUAUUACUGACAAUGAAAGAAACCUGAUAUAUCGAUCGCGAGGCGAAAGCACGACUCGUUAAUGAUACUAGAUCCGGUAAUUUUUGCUAUUAAUCGUAAAGUAACAUGUUAUUAAAAAAACAUGUUAUUAAAAAAAGAUCUUCUCAGUAAUGUCAUAAUUUUUUUUCGUUAUUUGUUUCACAUUAAUGCUAUAUAUUAGAUCUGCGUAGGACUUUCUGGAUGACGUUAAUAUCGUUAAUAGUCUCGAACUUCGCGCUUGGUAGAUAUCAUUGGAUUUAUUUGCGAAGCUGGGUGAAUCGUCUAAAAUUUUUAUUAAUUCAGAUCUAGUUGAUGAAAUAUUAUAAUAUUGUUGAUGCCGAAUAAAAUACGAAUAUAUAAGAUUAUGAGACAUUUACAAGUUAUUACUCUUUUCAACGACGAAGAAGCCAUUAAGUGCUCUUUCGCCCUAUUUAUACCGUAAAGGUUGCUUUGCGUUUUAUUGUUGACGUCGUGUUUGUUUUGCCGGUAAGGGACGCCCUUUUUGCUCCGUUAAGGUGCGGCUUUUUAUCAUUACACAACGGGUGCGAUGCGCCUAUCUUGGCGCGCAGUCUCGUCACACGUGUCACACCCUAUACCUUCUUCUGGGAUGCGCUGAACGGAUAAAGGGACUUCGACGUGCAUCCAUAAUAGGCGGAUCGCAUCCUGUAAAAGCGGCGCAUCGUAAAGUCGCAAUUAGCCAACAGCGUGUUGUACCAAGCACGUGAAUUAACUGUAAUUCAGGACGCGUUUCUAAAUCGGAUUAAACGAGGCGAAUCAUGAAAGCACGAGUUUUUAUCACACCCACCUCCCAUAAUUCAGUAAUCUACGUUGUAAUAUGUACUUGCAACGCGGCUCACGGGAGAAUAAGGACGCGUUUUAGUGCAAUCCCGACAAACAAGUUUUGAUACAUGGUUAACGAAGUGAAAUUCGUGCGGAUAUGACAGUCAAGAUGUAAAUUCUAAACAUUGCAAUUCCUUUUUUUAAAUUUCGGCAAAGGCCUUAGGAACUUUAAUGUCUUGCAUCUGUGCGGUAAUAAAAAUUAGAUUUAAGAAAAUUAUGCCGGCAUAAUUGCACUGACGGAACAUUAAUGUUGCCAUUUAAUGGCAAUUAAAGUGGAAAAUUCAAUUUUUUACAUUUUUAGUAGGUCGCUCUAUCUUUCAUAGCGAACUUAUUAAAAUUAAUACACGGCAGACCUAUAAGAUACAUUAGUGGCCAAAAUUAGUUCUCUCGUUUAGUCCUUUUUUUUCUUUGAAUCUAUACGAUGUUCUGUAAAUUUAUCAAUAUUUAAUCACAGAAAAGAAAUUAAACGUACACUCUUUGACAAAAAAGUUACAGGUUUAGACCUGUGCGUAACUUUUUUUGUCAAAGAAUGUACGUGGCACUUUUUAUCGUUCACUUUUAUCGUCUCCUAUAAAAAUAUCGCUUUAUAGUCGUGAAUUCGAAUUUAGGAGUAAUUCGAGCCGCGGUAAGCGUCCGUGAAACGGAGCGUAUCAAUUAUAGGCAAUUCGGCAUUUUAUCCGACGGCGACAACGAUUUUAUUGUACUUCCUGCCCGCCGCGUACGGCGAUUUCAUUUUUGAUCACGGUGUCCCCCCCCCCUUUUCCCAUUCCUCCCGUUUCUCUUCAUUUUUUUCACUAGCGAAUAAAAUCCGGUAAGAGCGAACGGAUAUCGAUUCUACGGCGGUGGCACCGCCCCAGUUCGCGGGCGUGGUGUAUAGGCCGCUUAUAACGGUCCUCCUUCUCUGACGGCACCGGCCGCUGAUUCUCCGUACGGUUAGCCGCAAUUCCCACAGCCGAGCCGGUAUAUAAGAGGCAACCCUGUGGGCCGGUUUCGAGCCCAGCGAUCGUUUACGCGUGAAGCGGGGUGCCGUUUUCGCGGUCGAUGCGACAACGACGCGACGACGUCGGAUUCACAACGCGUCGCGACACCCCCGUGGGACUCGGGGUGCGCACCGUGAGCGCUCUCACGUGAGACGCUUGCCGAAUAUGUAUGCUCUGUUAUAAAAUAACACGCCGAGGGAUGCACGCGUGUUCGCGCGAAUCAUGCGUAAUGGAACGAUCGUGUUUUUCACAGCCGCUUGCGACUGCAGAUACGUAGAUUAAAGAAUUUUCACGCGCGAAUGCGAUAUUCACUUACGUAAUAUCUAAUAUGCCAUUUUGUGGUGAAUGUGAAAAAAAUCCAAAACGCGAGAAAUAAAAAUUCAUCGAUCAACUUUCAACGCAGCUUAAUCAUGGUCUCGUUUUCCAUAGAUAAAACUUUAAAGACUUGCAAUCUAGAAAGAUAGUGAUUAAAAAAAAUUAUUCAAUAUUUAAAAAAUAAGGUCUGAAAAAAUUAGCGACAUGAAAUUAAGUCUUUGAUCGUCCAACGCAGCGAUACAACACGUUAUUCUCUUUACUCGUUAAAGCAUGAGAAACACCAUCAGUUUCUCUAUAAAGGAAGGGCCGCGUUUAUUUUAUCGAUCGCGAUCGUGCAGCAACGCGUUAUGGGCGCGGUCUCAAUGAAGGAUCAACUCGACGCAACGACUUUUAUGUCGUCGAACUUUCCAGCCCAAGCUACCCGUCGAAGAGGCUAAUUAUGGCGAAAACUUUUUAACGACUCCAGUUCGACAAACAACAAGGAGUAUUUCCGCUACAAAAAAUAUCGUCUCGUUCACGACAUGUUAAUGCAAAUAGUGAACGCGGAGAAGGGGCAAGGGGAAGGGUGAAAAUUUUCGAUCCACGUCCGCGAUAGGGAGUUAAAUCGAAACUUUAUUGCCUAUUUCACAGCAACAGUUUUCUUGCCUGUUGUUUUUCAAUCUCUUUUGUUUCGUUUAAUAAAUCUCUCUCGUGUGCAUCAGACGAGCGCGCCACAGUCGCUCGCAAAGACCUGUCGACGGGACCUGUCAAUAAUAAACACUCAGCGGAGUCGCUGUUAAUUACAAAUUAGACCGUUACGAACGGAUUUAAUGAAGUUCGGGAAGAACGGCGACCUCGUUAAGUUCGCAGGGUGCGCAGGCGGCACGCACUUGAGCGUCAAUGUAAGGCGAACGCGGCGACGCUAAGCCACUCUGCAGCGUUGCACCGAGGAUGCUCGCCGCGACGAGUAAAGUAUUGAUUUCGGAAGGCAUCGCCCGUAGCAUUGCCGCAGUACUUUCCAGAAGAAAUUGGUUCCUUCCGAUUAACUUAAUUUCGCGAGACGUCCAAUGGCUCCUGGAACCGACACCCCGAUUGCCUCUAACGGUUUCGGCUGCUGCAUACUCAACAUCCGUAUCACGUAUACAUGAUGUUUUCACCGGAACUCUCGUCUCGUUUACAACGAAAUACGAAGAACAGGGAAAUAGUGAAUUCCUGUAAAAGAGAAGUCUCGGGCGACUCGGUAUGGAAAAUUCGAAUACGUGCCGGGAGCCAAUCUAUCCAAAAGAAGAAAGAAAGAACGAAUAGCUGAGAGGAAUGCUACGGGGAAGGAUAUUGCGUCGUCGUUGAUUCUCGCGACAGAGGAACAGACACUGACGACAGGAGGAAAAAAUCAACAAUUUCAAUACAUUUUUUGUCGUAGAUUGAAAUCAUUUUUAAUCCAGAAUAACAAAAUGAGAGAAAAAAUGAAGACGCAUCAUUGUAUUAUUAUAUGUUGAAUAUCGAGAUAUAGUAUAUGCGUUGAAAAAUUUUGUAAGCUUCUUUUAAAAAUGUGUGUGUGUGUGUUGUAACGACAAAUUUUAAAAAAUAUAUUUAAAGAAAAUCUUUAUCUACUUUAAUAUUUUAUAUUUACGAUAUUCGAGAUAGAUGAACUUAUUUUUAUCCUGGAUAUAUUUUGAUGCUGCUUCAAAGUAUAUUAUUGUCAUGCUUGUAGAACACAAUUUUAUAUUUAUGUGUCUUUCUUAUUCGAAAGAACGAUAUGGGUCUAUGGAAUGUGGAACUAUGAGAAAAAUGUCCAUAACGUAAAGAAAAUAAGAUGUCUUACCGUGGAAGGAGAAUGUUUGUCCUCUUCGAGUUGUCAUACGUUUGAAAAUAUUCAAUAAAGUUCACUAUGUCAGACAUGAUAUUCACAAUAAAACUUUUUCGAAAUGUU